CCUACGGGUGGCAGCAGUGGGGAAUAUUGGGCAAUGGGCGCAAGCCUUACCCAGCAAUACCGCGUGAGUGAAGAAGGUCUUCGGAUUGUAAAGCUCUUUGAUCAGGGACGAACAGAUGACGGUACCUGAAGAACAAGCCCAGGCCAAAUACGUGCCAGCACCCGCGGAUAAACGUAGGGGGCGAGCGUUGUCCGGAAUGACUGGGCGUAAAGGGUGCGUAGGCGGGAUAAUAAGUUAGGAGGGAAAUACCCAGGGCUUAACUAGGGUGCUGCUUCUAAUACUGUUGAGCUUGAGUGCGGGAGAGGUUAAUGGAAUUCCUAGUGUAGAGGUGGAAUGCGUAGAUAUUAGGAGGAACACCAGAGGCGAAGGCGAUUAACUGGACCGUAACUGACGCUGAGGCACGAAAGUGUGGGUAGCAAACAGGAUUAGAUACCCUGGUAGUC
rnacentral:rRNA from 1 species